UACGUAGGGUGCAAACGUUGUUCGGAAUCACUGGGCAUAAAGGGCGCGUAGGCGGUCUGAUAAGUCCUGUGUGAAAGCCCCCGGCUCAACCGGGGGAACUGCACUGGAUACUGUCAGGCUAGAGUGUAGAAGAGGAGAGGCGGAAUUCCUGGAUGGAGCGGUGAAAUGCGUAGAUAUCAGGAGGAAUGCCAGUGGCGAAAGCGGCUCUCUGGUCUACUAACUGACGCUGGAGGCGACGAAAGCUAGGGGAGCAAACGGG
rnacentral:rRNA from 1 species